GAGGCGUAACAGGGAGCUUGCAACCGCAGACGACCGGCGCACGGGUGCGCACCGCGUAUGGAACCUACCUUCUACAGGNNAAUAGCCCAGGGAAACUUGGAUUAAUGCCCCGUGGUACUAUUAUAUGGCAUCAUAUUAUAGUUAAAGCCUUCGGGCGGUAGAAGAUGGCCAUGCGUCCCAUUAGCUUGAUGGUAAGGUAACGGCUUACCAUGGCUACGAUGGGUAGGGGCCCUGAGAGGGGGAUCCCCCACACUGGUACUGAGACACGGACCAGACUCCUACGGGAGGCAGCAGUGAGGAAUAUUGGACAAUGGAGGAGACUCUGAUCCAGCCAUGCCGCGUGCAGGAAGAAUGCCCUAUGGGUAGUAAACUGCUUUAAUACGGGAAGAAAAAGGGGCACGUGCGCCCUACUGACGGUACCGUAAGAAUAAGGACCGGCUAACUCCGUGCCAGCAGCCGCGGUAAUAC
rnacentral:rRNA from 1 species